GAAACACACUUCCACGCAAGGUCUGGGGCCAAUGCUGUCAAACACACUUCCCCUUCCCCCAAAGCUCUGGGCCAAUGCUGGUCAGAAACACACUUCCCCCAAGCUCUGGGCCAAUGCUGGUCAGAAACACACUUCCCCCAAGCUCUGGGCCAAUGCUGGUCAGAAACACACUUCCCCCAUCUGGGCCAAUACUGGUCAGAAACACUUUUCCAAGCUCUGGGCCAAUACUGGUCAGAAACACUUUUCCAAGCUCUGGGCCAAUGCUGGUCAGAAACACACUUCCCCCAAGCUCUGGGACAGGGCUGGUCAGCCACAAAACAAUGUUCUCCUCAAAAACAUAGCACAAUUACAAUCUGUUUCAGUAGCUAUAGUUAGCUAGCUAAGUCUCUAGCACGAUGUUAUCUAAAAUAUUCCUAAUUUAUAAGACAGUUUUCGUAUUUGGUUGAUUGUCGGACCCACUUGCCAUGCUUGUAACGUUAGCUUGGGACAACCGGCCUAGGUAGCUUGCUAGCUUUGUGUAGUUCGUUAUCUAGCUAGCUAGUUAUAUUCAUGAACUAAAGUUCGAUUUCAAUAGGAAAACAACAAGAGGCUACUUAGCUAAUACUUAGUGUCAUGAAUUCCUAAAUCAUUGCGAAACAUUGAAAAUGAUAGCAGUUUCUGGUUAUCGUCUUCAGGCUGGUUGCAUUGGUGCUAGCUAGGUAUCAAGUCAAAGCUAGCAAGCUAGCUAUCCUAAAAAUUCCUAAAAACAUCCUUUGUAUGAGAUAUUUCUGAGUGACUUUGUCAUACUGCAAAUCAAAGUCAACAUAGCAGGGAGAUAGCCUAUCUCUAGUUUAAAAACUUUCAUCAAUGUUGAUGGCGCUUGGCUCGCGCAUGAAAAUUCAGCUCACGCAGCAUUCGAAAAUGUUAUUUUGUUAUUCGAUGUAUCAAAUUAUAAGCUUAUUUGACAUAAAUAUAUUUGUUUGUGACACACAAAGACCCAAACGGUAUUCCAUAGUUACAAUUUGUAUCUCUAUCUACAGAAUGAAAAUAAAGUCAAACGUAUUACAUUGUAUCUCUGUGGUUCUAUCUGUCCAUUGUGAGACAUUCUAGAACAGAUAGGACACAGUUAUUAAUAUGUACAGUACAUUCUGCUGUUCAAAUCAUCAAGUAGUGAAUGGGCAAUGUAGCCUGGUCCCAGUUGGAAAGAUGGCAAAAAAAACAUUUGGGACCAGGCUAGGAAGAACACAACUGUCCUGUCGUUCUUGAUCAUAACAACACUCACAACCACAUCAGACUCUCUUCCUGGUUCUCUUCCUGGUUCUUUUCUUCUAUUCCUUCUCCAAGCGUCUCCUUGGGUAUAGACCAUAGGUAUUUCUCCUCACCACCUGUCCUGUCCACCACCUCCUCUUCUCCCGUCUGUCUGUCGAUCUCUCAUUCCCUUUUCAUUCGUUCGUGCUGUUAUUGUUUGGUGUUUUUCUUUUUAUAGGUCGACCCACAACUGACGGGUUCCCUGUUGCAUGCUAUUUACUGACUUCAUC
ensembl:lncRNA